GAUGAACGCUGGCGGCGUGCUUAACACAUGCAAGUCGAGCGAGAUUAUACUUCGGAAUAGUCUAGCGGCGGACGGGUGAGUAACACGUGGGCAACCUGCCUUGUAGAGGGGGAUAGCCUUCCGAAAGGAAGAUUAAUACCGCAUAACGUUAUUGAAAGGCAUCUUUCGAUAAUCAAAGGAGCAAUCCGCUACAAGAUGGGCCCGCGGCGCAUUAGCUAGUUGGUGAGGUAACGGCUCACCAAGGCGACGAUGCGUAGCCGACCUGAGAGGGUGAUCGGCCACAUUGGGACUGAGACACGGCCCAGACUCCUACGGGAGGCAGCAGUGGGGAAUAUUGCACAAUGGGGGAAACCCUGAUGCAGCAACGCCGCGUGAGUGAUGACGGCCUUCGGGUUGUAAAGCUCUGUCUUUGGGGACGAUAAUGACGGUACCCAAGGAGGAAGUCACGGCUAACUACGUGCCAGCCGCCGCGGUAA
rnacentral:rRNA from 1 species